CAUUGCGCCCGCUAGUAUUCUAGCGGGCAUGCCUGUUCGAGCGUCAUUUCAACCCUCAAGCCCUGCUUGGUGUUGGGGUCCUACGGCUGCCGUAGGCCCUUAAAACUAGUGGCGGGCUCGCUAUAACUCCGAGCGUAGUAGUAAAAUAUCUCGCUAGGGAGGUGUCGCGGGUUCCGGCCGUGAAAGCCCCAUCUUUUACACAAGGUUGACCUCGGAUCAGGUAGGAAUACCCGCUGAACUUAAGCAUAUCAAUAAGCGGAGGAAAAGAAACCAACAGGGAUUGCCCCAGUAACGGCGAGUGAAGCGGCAACAGCUCAAAUUUGAAAUCUGGCUUCGGCCCGAGUUGUAAUUUGUAGAGGAUGCUUUUGGUGAGGUGCCUUGUGAGUUCCCUGGAACGGGACGCCAGAGAGGGUGAGAGCCCCGUAUACUUGGACACCGAGCCUCUGUAAAGCUCCUUCGACGAGUCGAGUAGUUUGGGAAUGCUGCUCUAAAUGGGAGGUAUAUCUCUUCUAAAGCUAAAUAUUGGCCAGAGACCGAUAGCGCACAAGUAGAGUGAUCGAAAGAUGAAAAGCACUUUGAAAAGAGGGUUAAAUAGUACGUGAAAUUGUUGAAAGGGAAGCGCUUGUGACCAGACUUGUGCCGGGCUGAUCAUCCAGUGUUCUCA
rnacentral:rRNA from 1 species